rnacentral:lncRNA from 1 species
GCGCCCUGGUUUCCAUCUGGAAUUGGCUCCAACAGCAGCAGGAAAGGAGGCUGCUUUUUCUGCAGAAAUCUCCUUGCAAUACUGGUCU